UCGCUGCAGCAGCCACUGAUACAACUGCUUAUACUUUAUCAUAUACAUGUUUACUGUUGGCGAUGAAUCCUAAAAUACAAGAAAAUGUUUAUGAAGAAGUUAUGGAGGUUGUUGGAGAAUAUAGAACAAUAGAUUGUAGUAAUCUAGUUAAUUUAAAAUACACUGAAAUUGUGAUAAAUGAAGCUUUAAGAUUAAUUCAUGUUAUUCCAUUAAUGGGGCGACGCACAACUGCCGAAAUAAAUUUAGGUGAAAUAGUCAUCCCAGAAAAUACAGGAAUAAUUAUUGACAUAUUGAGUUUGCACAGAAACCUGGAAAUUUAGUCCGGAUCCCCUGAAAUACGAUCCGGACAGAUUUCUUCCCAAAUAGAUCGCAAAAAGGCCUCAAUACAGUUUCGUGCCUUUUUCUGCUGGUCCAAGAAACAGUAUCGGUAAAAAAUAUGCAAUGAUGUUUAUGAAAAUGGCUGUAGCACAUAUUGUGAAAAAUUAUAGAAUUUCAACU